AUGAGGAAAGAAAUGGAGAGCCUCGAUGAGCAAACACCAUCCUCAAUGCCUCGGAGAGAGCAAAGUGCCCCUGGCCACACUGCAGGCAUCCCACCACUCACUGCUGCUGUCCUGAUGGGAAGGGCUGAAGGUUCACUCUGCACAGACCAAGUUUCAGGGAGAACAAUGUCGAGUCAUACGAAUGUCAGCUCAGCUAGCUUAAACCCAGGCACAGAAAAGGGGUCAAUUAACAGAGUUAUGGACAAAGAGGUGAUAGAUUUUGGCUCUGCCUCAGACAACUGUUGUCCUGGUAGUGGUAUUCAGCAUGGUGUCAGCUGCACGCCGCAAGGAACACCAAAUAAACUAAAGGAAGCAGUGAGAACAAUGUCAGUUCUGAGCCAAGAGAAGCAGCAUCUGAUUGAAAUGGGAAACAGACUCAAGACAGAUCUUGAAAUGAUAUUAAAGGAAGGACUUGGGCAUCCUGUUAGCCCAAAGCUCUGCACAGUUUGUGUAGGCUCUGGUGGCCUUUCUCCGAGAGAACUUGUCAAAAGAACACAGUGUCAGCUUUCAGCUUUAAGGCACCUGCAACGCAAGCUCAUAACACAGGAGCUGCAAUAUGCAAAGCAACAGCACCUCUCCAGGAUCUCUUCUUUAAUUGCCUGCCCCAUUUUAAAGGGAGAAAAAGCUCCAAGCAGCUGUGGAGAAGAAAAAGAACUGCUGUCUGCUGAGGUUCAGCUCAAUUCCUCAGCUGGAAAUUAUGGGCCAACGCAACAAAAGGCGGCUGCUGCACCCUCAAGGGUUCAAAGUCAGCCACCCAAGGAAAGCCCUGGUCAAGCCCAGCAGGUCUGGAUUUCUUCAUCUGGAGCACACAGUCCAUGCCAAGUGGAAUUUGAAAUCACGCAUUCAACCGAGCGAGCUGGAAAAUGUCAGGAACACAGCAAUGCCACGAGUGAGCCUGAAAUGCCCACAGCACAUCUGGCAGUCAGAGGUACCAAGCUGGAGGUUCAGCAGAAGCUAAAAUCCAGGAAUUCUCCUUGUACAUACCCCAUAAAACGAAAAAUCUCUCCUACCGUGGCAAAAAUCCGCAACUACAAUAUUAAAGACUGA
rnacentral:lncRNA from 1 species